UACGUAGGGUGCGAGCGUUAAUCGGAAUUACUGGGCGUAAAGCGUGCGCAGGCGGUUCGUUGUGUCUGAUGUGAAAGCCCCGGGCUUAACCUGGGAACGGCAUUGGAAACUGGCGAGCUGGAGUGUGGCAGAGGGGGGUGGAAUUCCACGUGUAGCAGUGAAAUGCGUAGAGAUGUGGAGGAACACCGAUGGCGAAGGCAGCCCCCUGGGUCAAGAUUGACGCUCAUGCACGAAAGCGUGGGGAGCAAACAGG
rnacentral:rRNA from 1 species